CUCCUAAAAGAUGGAGUUGCCUUCGUACUGGCAGCUUUAAGUUGACGUUUAUCGUUUAAUUGAAUUAAAGCAAAUUUAGAUCAAUUUUCAAUUUUGAUUUGUGUCCACAAGCAACCAACAUCACACUAGAACCCAACUCUGAACAUGGAAACAUAAAAUGUCGCAAACUAACACGGACUCGAAGGAAGAAACUAAAUUUUUAUAAAUCUUAUUCAAUUUUUUACAAGCUUGGCUUCACACACAAGGACAAUUCACAUGUUUUGCAGUUUGUUUUCAUUCAUUUCUUUAAUUUUCCAUUUUUCCUAAUUUAAUUAUCUUCGUCAUUACUUAAAUCCCAUAAUUUAAAUCCCAUAUUUCCUCACCGUAUUGUGCCUCUUUACAAUUUAUAAACAAGUGAAAUCCAGUGAACUGUCAUCUUCUUUCAUGUGUUUCACUUUUUCAUUUCAUAAUUUUUCGGUUCUUUAGUUAACUGUUUAUUGAAAUUAAUGGCAAAAUCACCUCAAACUAACUUAAUAUCAAAUAUAAUGUGUCAUAAAUGAAACAGUUAAUCAACAUCACCACGCGUUCCUGAAUAGCAGUUACUAACUGAAACAGAAUGAAAAAAAGGAUUAUUUUCUAUUCCUGGUAUCAAUUUGGUUUUCAAACAUUUUUCAGGUUCAUCAUAAUAAUGGAUACAAAUGUGAAUCAAAAACUUGCUCACCUUCCCAAAAAUAUAUCAAUACAAUGAUAACCAUCUUGCCAAGUAUAAACAUCCUAAACUGAAAGUACAAAUUAAUAGAUUCACUUUAAUUCAGGUAUCACGACAAUCAUGGUACAAGCAGUUAUCACUUUUAAUUUCCGUAGGUUAUAAUUCAUCGAUCAGGUGUAAACUAAUUGUCUAAUUAAUGCCCAACCAUCUAACCUUUCCUUUCUCAAGAAGUACCUGUUGUUGCACUGGUAAACACCAUCAAUCUCAUCGAUAUCUGCACAGCCAAUUUCUCGGUAAAUUGUGAUUCCCUCAGCAAAUAAUUGAUUAGAUAAUGAAGCCUAUUAAAUCCCAGAUUUCCUAUUAAUUAUUCAGUAGAGGAUAAAAUGGAUCUUGAUACACAAAUAGUGGUUACAAAGUAAAUAAUGUGUAUUGGGUUUGUAAGCAACUGGAUGCAUCUCAAUCACAUGUUUCAACCUUUUUAUUGGUGGACUUGAUUUUAUUUUUUAGGUUUUUCCUUAAGUUAAUUGUUACCUGUUAACUGACACUAACAGACCAGCUUUAUAUAAAUGAUUAAAAUGGUUACUACAUUUGUUUUGCUUGUGUAUUACAAGACAAUUUGAUUUAUAUCAGAUGUUGCCAACAAUUAUUAAUAUCAUUACAUUAUCAUUUUUAACAGCUUUUAUUGUUUAUACACGAAACAAACUGAAGACCAAUUUAAAGUGGCAAAAUGAAAAUAAAGAUAAUCACUAUUAAAACCCGUUAAA